UUAGGUUCCGCCCUCCAAGAACGGGCGGCCAAGAGGGAAUCACGUGCAAAUCGUGAGCUGUCGCGCAACUGUAAAUCACCGAACAAAAUCCUGUCGGCGUUAUGCCAUUGGACACUAUCAAUGUCUGAGAAGGUGCCGGAAGGAUGGUGAAAGCCAGGAUACCUGCCUAUUUGU
rnacentral:ncRNA from 1 species